GCAAGUCGAGGGGCAGCAGAACAUUUCGGUGUUGCUGGCGACCGGCGAACGGGUGCGUAACACGUAUGCAAUCUACCUUGUACUGGGGAAUAGCUCUCGGAAACGAGAAUUAAUACCCCAUAUAAUCCUAACAGCGCAUGCUAAUAGGAGGAAAGUUCCGGCGGUACAAGAUGAGCAUGCGUCCCAUUAGCUAGUUGGUAAGGUAACGGCUUACCAAGGCCACGAUAGGUAGGGGUUCUGAGAGGAAGAUC
rnacentral:rRNA from 1 species